ACUCCCGUGGCUAAAGGAAAAGCGCUGGCC
rnacentral:tRNA from 1 species